ACUCUCUUGGAGAUAAGUCCUGAAAUGAAGAUGCUAACAAUGGUAAUUUUACUUAUUGCCAAUCUAGGAAUCCCCUUAGACUCGAAGUGUGUGAAUGAGUCACCCGUCUGUUCUAUAUAUAGGUAACAGGCAAGAAUCCCACAGCUUGAGAGAUUGAUGAUUAUUAUAUUAGUUAGGCAGCAAUUUCUUUGAAAUAGCCCUAUAGCUUGGCUAGGGGAAUGAUUUUUAGGCAGCCAAGAAAAGUGCAGUUUUCCUAUACUGUAUCCAAAAAGUGAUCAGUUUUAAGCUAUAUGUAACUCUGUAUCUGAGUAGUGAAAUGGGAUGGGGAAAAAUUAAAUUAUGCUCAUAUAUGUAUUACAAGUGAAUAAUUACAAUGUGCAUUUUUGUAGAAAAUACUACAUAAUCCAUCCACUAAUGGAAAGUAGAUCUAAUCUAACACUGUAGUACCUUCCUUUAAUUGUCUAAUGUCUCAUAUCUGGAGAUGACAAGCCACCUAACAAAUCCCUGUAACCUGCAUUUACUCUCCCCUCAGAAGCUCUCAUCCCUGUGGGCAAGCCAGACCGCUGCAAUUUGACAGGAUUGCCAAACGUGAGCCCAUUCUCAGUACAGAGAGCAAGAAGAUGGCUUGACUCAUGAGCAAACAGCCAGGCAAAAAGCCUGGCUCUUUGGAAGCCCAUCUACAGAAUAUGGGGGAACAGCUUCCCAUGAAAACACUCCUUUCCUGAAGCACCCAUCCUCCACUCAUCCCUCGAGCCAGGGCAUCUAUCAGCCUGGCAUAAGAAUGUGCCGAUGAAUCAUGCCAGGGUUAAGUUUCAGUGAAUUUUAUAGCUUUGGUGAAACUGUUUCUUCUGCUGUUUCAUUAAACAACACUAAGUACAACACCGUCCAGCCUGUAGCUGGAUCUAUAUGUUCCCUCAGCAAUGAGCAUCCAGUGUGUAACCAAAACAUCUUAUUACUAAGAAUUUGCAAGAAGCCUAGUCUUGCGAGCUAUCAAGAGGAUUGCUAUAAACAGCUGCUCUCAAUUAUCCUGGUGCUGGAGGGAUAUGUCAGGGCUAUGAUGACGCAGAGAGAAAAAGAGGAACAGAAACCAGUUCACAUAGACAUGACUCAGCUUCUGUUAAAUAAGCACUUGGUUUAACUGCAUCUUGUCAAAUCAUUACACAGCACAUUUAACUGGGCAUUUUACACUUCUCUCCUUGCUUGUCCAUUUUGAUUUUCUGUUUGUACUACUAGGAAUAGCUCCACUUACUAGUGCAAAAGCUGGCAGAAAUGCAAUGUAAAUAUAAAUCUUAAAGACCAAAUGGCAGUUUUGCGGGAGUAAGGACUGCAGGAUUGAACUAUUACUGUUUAAGUUUUGGAUGAGGUUCUCAAAGACAGCUAACGAAAUUAAAAAAAAAAUCAUGAACUGUUACCUCACUUUGCACAGACCCCCCCUUUGUAUCUCUCUAAAGCUUAUAACUAUAGUUUAUGAUUUCAAAAAAGCAGCUUUUAUUGUGAUGCACCCAAAAUAGUAAAGAAGGAAUAUAACUAUGAUAUCUUUAAAACUUCCUUUUAAUUGGCUUUAGCAAUAAACAAUAGGACUCAAUCCA
ensembl:lncRNA